GUGCCAGCCGCCGCGGUAAUACGUAGGGGGCAAGCGUUGUCCGGAUUUAUUGGGCGUAAAGCGCACGCAGGCGGUCUGAUACGUUUCCAGUGACAGUGCUCGGCUUAACUGAGCAAGGUCUGGGAAAACGGUCAGACUUGAGGACCAGAGAGGGACAUAGAAUUCCGGGUGGAGUGGUGAAAUGCGUAGAUAUCCGGAGGAAUACCAAAGGCGAAGGCAGUGUCCUGGCUGGUAACUGACGCUCAGGUGCGAAAGCUAGGGGAGCGAACAGGAUUAGAUACCCCGGUAGUCC
rnacentral:rRNA from 1 species